rnacentral:rRNA from 1 species
UACGGAGGAUCCAAGCGUUAUUCGGAUUUCUUGGGCUUAAAGCGAGCGUAGGCGGCCAAUUAAGUCAGGGGUGAAAGACGGUGGCUCAACCAUCGCAGUGCCUUUGAUACUGAUUGGCUUGAAUGUAGUUGAGGUAGGCGGAAUGUGACAAGUAGCGGUGAAAUGCAUAGAUAUGUCACAGAACACCGAUUGCGAAGGCAGCUUACUAAGCUAUAAUUGACGCUGAGGCUCGAAAGCGUGGGGAUCAAACAGG